rnacentral:rRNA from 1 species
AUCGAACGCUGGCGGCAGGCCUAACACAUGCAAGUCGAGCGAGCGGCGGACGGGUGAGUAAUGUAUGGGGACUGCCCGUUAGAGGGGGAUAACUACUGGAAACGGUAGCUAAUACCGCAUACUAUCGGAUAACCCAUAUGGGAUUAGCUAGUAGGUGGGGUAAUGGCUUACCUGGGCGACGAUCCCUAGCUGGGCUGAGAGGAUGGUCAGCCACACUGGGACUGAGACACGGCCCAGACUCCUACGGAGGCAGCAGAGGGGAAUGUUGCACAAUUGGCGCAAGCCUGAUGCAGCCAUGCCGCGUGUAUGAAGAAGGCCCUGGGGUUGUAAAGUACUUUCAGUCGGGAGGCGUUACCGGCAGAAGAAGCACCGGCUAACUCCGUGCCAGCAGCCGCGGUAAUAC